rnacentral:rRNA from 2 species
GAGACCGGCGCACGGGUGCGUAACGCGUAUGCAAUCUACCUUUUACAGAGGGAUAGCCCAGAGAAAUUUGGAUUAAUACCUCAUAGUAUGCAGAGUUGGCAUCAACACUGCAUUAAAGUCACAACGGUAAAAGAUGAGCAUGCGUCCCAUUAGCUAGUUGGUAAGGUAACGGCUUACCAAGGCUACGAUGGGUAGGGGUCCUGAGAGGGAGAUCCCCCACACUGGUACUGAGACACGGACCAGACUCCUACGGGAGGCAGCAGUGAGGAAUAUUGGACAAUGGGCGCAAGCCUGAUCCAGCCAUGCCGCGUGCAGGAUGACGGUCCUAUGGAUUGUAAACUGCUUUUGCACAGGAAGAAACAACGCUACGUGUAGCGUCUUGACGGUACUGUGAGAAUAAGGAUCGGCUAACUCCGUGCCAGCAGCCGCGGUAAUACGGAGGAUCCAAGCGUUAUCCGGAAUCAUUGGGUUUAAAGGGUCCGUAGGCGGUUUGGUAAGUCAGUGGUGAAAGCCCAUCGCUCAACGGUGGAACGGCCAUUGAUACUGCCAGACUUGAAUUAUUAGGAAGUAACUAGAAUAUGUAGUGUAGCGGUGAAAUGCUUAGAGAUUACAUGGAAUACCAAUUGCGAAGGCAGGUUACUACUAAUGGAUUGACGCUGAUGGACGAAAGCGUGGGUAGCGAACAGGAUUAGAUACCCUG